AUAUGGUAAACGGUUCGCAAUGCCAGUAGACUUGCCCUAUAUGAUAUUUAUCAGCAACGUGCCCAUGAUAAUGGCCGGACUGCUCGCUUUGCUCACUUCCACGUGGAUGUUCGCAAUGCCAGUUUAUCUCACCAGUCUGGAAGAUUUUCCGUUGGCACAUGACUUUACGCCGAAGUUCAACAUUUCUAUAUUUCAAUAGUAAUAAAUGGUGUAAUAAAUAAAGUGUUAAUUAUUAGUCAUCUCGGAAUAACUGAUAUUUCUUUACUUCAUUCACUAAUAUUAUAUAAGGUAAA
rnacentral:lncRNA from 1 species